UACGUAGGGCGCAAGCGUUUGUCCGGAAUUAUUGGGCGUAAAGAGCUCGUAGGUGGCUGGUCGCGUCUGCCGUGAAAGCCCGCAGCUUAACUGCGGGUCUGCGGUGGAUACGGGCCGGCUAGAGGUAGGUAGGGGCAAGUGGAAUUCCUGGUGUAGCGGUGAAAUGCGCAGAUAUCAGGAGGAACACCGGUGGCGAAGGCGGCAUUCUGGACCGAAACUGACGCGUGAGGCG
rnacentral:rRNA from 1 species